CUUAUCAAGAGUGGCUGAGAGACUGGCUCUGUGACGCCCGGCAACCUAUCCGAGAUUAUCUCAUGUGACAAGGUGCCAAUUCCUGACAGAUGAGUAAU
rnacentral:ncRNA from 1 species